AACCAUAGAAACCUGCGGAGUACCUGCGGAAGGAUCAUUACAGAGUUGCAAAACUCCCUAAACCAUUGUGAACGUUACCUAAACCGUUGCUUCGGCGGGCGGCCCGGGUCCUUCCCGGCGCCCCUCGGCCCUCGCGGGCGCCCGCCGGAGGUAAACCAAACUAUUGCAUUGUAUGGCCUCUCUGAGUCUUCUGUACUGAAUAAGUCAAAACUUUUAGCAAUGGAUCUCAGAUCGGAAGAG
rnacentral:misc_RNA from 1 species